CAGCUUUCCAGUGGAAAUCCCAUCUAUGACAAAUAUUAUCGACAGGUGGAUCCCACUGGCAGCGGGUGGGUGGCGGCGGCCGAUGCAGCUCUAUUCUUGAAGAGGUCGGGCUUGGCUGACAUGGUCCUAGGCAAGAUCUGGGAUCUGUCUGACUCCGAAAGAAAAGGAUCGCUUAAUAAACAGCAAUUCUUCAUAGCGCUGCGAUUGGUGGCUUGUGCUCAGA